GCCUGGUUGGCUCGGUAGGUUAAGCGUCUGACUCUUGAUUUAGGUUCAGCUCAUGAUCUCGCAGUUUGUGGGUUCAAGCCCCACAUCAGGCU
rnacentral:tRNA from 1 species